rnacentral:lncRNA from 1 species
CCUCGUACUCCUCCCCGUGCCCCCCCCGUGCCCCUCCCGUACCCCUCCUCGUGCCCCUCCCCGUACUCCUCCCCGUGCCCCUCCCCGUGCCCCUCCCCGUGCUCCCCCGGGGCUCCUCCCCGCGCUCACCUCCGCUGGUGUGUCCCGUCUGGGCGUCCGUGUCUCCGCGCGAGGCGGGGAGGCGUCCCUAAGGUCCCCGGGGCGGGAGCCUCGCGGGGCGUCGCAGCCGCAGCCCACCCAGGGCGCCUCGCGGGCGUCGGGAGGCUUUUCCCGCCGCGGGAGCCUGAGCCGGGCGGGCGGCCGCGGGGGGAGACAGUUCGCUUAGGGGCCUUGUGUCUGCAGGAGCAAACUUGAAAAACGUCCUUGAGUGUUUGUGGAUAGAGAAGCAUGAAACAGACGUGCGCUCAGGGCAGGCUGGAGGGGAGGGCAGGGCCCCUGGGGUCGGGGCGGGGGGGGAGGAGGGCGGGGGAGGAGGGCAUGGGGGGCCGCGGGGGCUCCCGUCCCGAACUCCUGGGUUGUGUUUCCUGCCGUGAGGCAGCAGCACCCGGGACAGUGGGGCGACGGGCGGGGGCGGGGGGGCGCGGAGCGCGCUGGGCGGCGGGCCUGGGGCGGGGCGGGGAGCGCGGCGGGGGCGGGGGCGGGGCGGGGCCCGGGCCCCGCCGACACCCCGACCUCCAAGUGCCGCCGCCCCAGGGGCCGCCCCGCAGCUCCGCACCCCCGCACGGCUCCGCAUCGCCCCCCCGCCCGGCUCUGCACCCCCGCCCGCCGCAGCUCCGCACCCCCCUACCCCGGCUCCGGUGCCCGCCACGGCCCGGCUCCGCACACCGCCCCCCUCACCCCUCACCCCUGCUCCGCUCCCUCACCCCCCUCCCGCUCGGCUCCCCCUGUCUGGUGCACCGGCUGCCCCGCCCCGCUCCCUCAUCCCCGCCCCCCCCACACCCGCCCCGCUCCCUCACCCCCUCACCCCUGCUCCGCUCCCUCCGUCCCCCCGCCCCCUCCUCCCCCCCGACCGGGCCGCGCAGCCGCCGGGCCGUGGCUGCUGGAGGCGCCGCCCGCAGGUGGGCGGCCGCGCGUGUCCGUGGCCCCCCGUCCCCCCUGGCGGCAGACCCCGGAGCCCGGAGCCCGGAGCCCAGCCGCCCCGCCAGGCCCCCGCGCCCGCCGCCGGAGCCCCAGGGAAGCACCGGCUCUGCGCCCCCGGAGCCCGCGGACUCGGGUAACAGGACAACGCUGUUGUUACCUCACAAUGCCUCCAAGUGA